GCGGUAUCCUAACCGUGCGAAGGUAGCGCAAUCAAUUGUCCCAUAAAUCGGGACUUGUAUGAAUGGCUAAACGAGGCCUUAACUGUCUCUUACAGAUAGUCAGUGAAAUUGAUCUCCCUGUACAAAAGCAGGAAUAAAUACAUAAGACGAGAAGACCCUGUGGAACUUAAAAAUCAGCGGCCACUAUACAUAAAUACACACCUACCAGGCCCACAGCUACAAACCUAAUUGCUGGCCCCCAUUUUUCGGUUGGGGCGACCUUGGAGAAAAGAAAAACCUCCAAAAAUAAGAUCAUACCUCUUAACUAAGAGCAACCCCUCAACGUACUAAUAGUAACCAGAUCCAAUAAAAAUUGACCAAUGGACCAAGCUACCCCAGGGAUAACAGCGCA
rnacentral:rRNA from 1 species